GCACCAUACGCUGUGNGNCAUNCUUAACACAUGCAAGUCGAACGAUGAACCACUUCGGUGGGGAUUAGUGGCGAACGGGUGAGUAACACGUGGGCAAUCUGCCCUUCACUCUGGGACAAGCCCUGGAAACGGGGUCUAAUACCGGAUAUCACUCCUGCAGGCAUCUGCGGGGGUCGAAAGCUCCGGCGGUGAAGGAUGAGCCCGCGGCCUAUCAGCUUGUUGGUGAGGUAGUGGCUCACCAAGGCGACGACGGGUAGCCGGCCUGAGAGGGCGACCGGCCACACUGGGACUGAGACACGGCCCAGACUCCUACGGGAGGCAGCAGUGGGGAAUAUUGCACAAUGGGCGAAAGCCUGAUGCAGCGACGCCGCGUGAGGGAUGACGGCCUUCGGGUUGUAAACCUCUUUCAGCAGGGAAGAAGCGAAAGUGACGGUACCUGCAGAAGAAGCGCCGGCUAACUACGUGCCAGCAGCCGCGGUAAUACGUAGGGCGCAAGCGUUGUCCGGAAUUAUUGGGCGUAAAGAGCUCGUAGGCGGCUUGUCACGUCGGGUGUGAAAGCCCGGGGCUUAACCCCGGGUCUGCAUUCGAUACGGGCAGGCUAGAGUGUGGUAGGGGAGAUCGGAAUUCCUGGUGUAGCGGUGAAAUGCGCAGAUAUCAGGAGGAACACCGGUGGCGAAGGCGGAUCUCUGGGCCAUUACUGACGCUGAGGANCGAAAGCGUGGGGAGCGAACAGGAUUAGAUACCCUGGUAGUCCACGCCGUAAACGGUGGGAACUAGGUGUUGGCGACAUUCCACGUCGUCGGUGCCGCAGCUAACGCAUUAAGUUCCCCGCCUGGGGNAUACGGCCNCANGGUUAAACUNAAAGGAAUUGACGGGGGCCCCCNCAANCANNGGAACAUUNGGNUNAA
rnacentral:rRNA from 1 species